rnacentral:tRNA from 1 species
GUUAUUUUGGCAGAUUAGUGCAAUGAAUUUAGAAUUCAUAAAUGUAUACUAUACAAAUAAUA